rnacentral:tRNA from 1 species
GCGAGAGUGGUGAAAUUGGCAGACACGCUAGACUUAGGAUCUAGUGCCUUAGGCGUAAGGGUUCAAGUCCCUUCUCUCGCA